rnacentral:rRNA from 1 species
AUUGUACGCUGGCGGCAGGCCUAACACAUGCAAGUCGAGCGGAUGAAGGGAGCUUGCUCCUGGAUUCAGCGGCGGACGGGUGAGUAAUGCCUAGGAAUCUGCCUGGUAGUGGGGGAUAACGUCCGGAAACGGGCGCUAAUACCGCAUACGUCCUGAGGGAGCAAGUGGGGGAUCUUCGGACCUCACGCUAUCAGAUGAGCCUAGGUCGGAUUAGCUAGUUGGUGGGGUAAAGGCCUACCAAGGCGACGAUCCGUAACUGGUCUGAGAGGAUGAUCAGUCACACUGGAACUGAGACAAGGUCCAGACUACUACGAGAGGCAGCAGUGGGGAAUAUUGGACAAUGGGCGAAAGCCUGAUCCAGCCAUGCCGCGUGUGUGAAGAAGGUCUUCGGAUUGUAAAGCACUUUAAGUGGGGAGGAAGGGCAGUAAGUUAAUACCUUGCUGUUUUGACGUUACCAACAGAAUAAGCACCGGCUAACUUCGUG